CGAAAUGCGAUAAGUAAUGUGAAUUGCAGAAUUCAGUGAAUCAUCGAAUCUUUGAACGCACAUUGCGCCCCCUGGCAUUCCGGGGGGCAUGCCUGUUCGAGCGUCAUUACACCACUCAAGCCUAGCUUGGUAUUGAGCGCCGCACCCCCUUGCGCGCUCCAAUGUCUCCGGCCGAGCCGUCCGCCUCGAAGCGUUGUGCACACAGCUCGCUUGCGGGGCCAGGACCGGCAUUCGUCGCCGACGGAACCUUUCUUUCUACAGGUUGACCUCGGAUCAGGUAGGGAUACCCGCUGAACUUAAGC
rnacentral:misc_RNA from 1 species